AGAGUUUGAUCAUGGCUCAGGACGAACGCUGGCGGCACGCUUAACACAUGCAAGUCGAACGAGAGAAGAGGAGCUUGCUUUUCUGAUCUAGUGGCGGACGGGUGAGUAACACGUGAGCAAUCUGCCUUUCAGAGGGGGAUACCGAUUGGAAACGAUCGUUAAUACCGCAUAACAUAAUUGAACCGCAUGAUUUGAUUAUCAAAGAUUUAUCGCUGAAAGAUGAACUCGCGUCUGAUUAGCUAGUUGGUAAGGUAACGGCUUACCAAGGCGACGAUCAGUAGCCGGACUGAGAGGUUGAUCGGCCACAUUGGGACUGAGACACGGCCCAGACUCCUACGGGAGGCAGCAGUGGGGAAUAUUGCACAAUGGAGGAAACUCUGAUGCAGCGAUGCCGCGUGAGGGAAGAAGGUUUUAGGAUUGUAAACCUCUGUCUUCAGGGACGAAAAAAGACGGUACCUGAGGAGGAAGCUCCGGCUAACUACGUGCCAGCAGCCGCGGUAAUACGUAGGGAGCGAGCGUUGUCCGGAAUUACUGGGUGUAAAGGGAGCGUAGGCGGGAUCGCAAGUCAGAUGUGAAAACUAUGGGCUUAACCCAUAAACUGCAUUUGAAACUGUGGUUCUUGAGUGAAGUAGAGGUAAGCGGAAUUCCUAGUGUAGCGGUGAAAUGCGUAGAUAUUAGGAGGAACAUCAGUGGCGAAGGCGGCUUACUGGGCUUUAACUGACGCUGAGGCUCGAAAGCGUGGGGAGCAAACAGGAUUAGAUACCCUGGUAGUCCACGCCGUAAACGAUGAUUACUAGGUGUGGGGGGACUGACCCCUUCCGUGCCGCAGCAAACGCAAUAAGUAAUCCACCUGGGGAGUACGACCGCAAGGUUGAAACUCAAAGGAAUUGACGGGGGCCCGCACAAGCAGUGGAGUAUGUGGAUUAAUUCGAAGCAACGCGAAGAACCUUACCAGGUCUUGACAUCGUAUGCAUAGCUCAGAGAUGAGUGAAAUCUCUUCGGAGACAUAUAGACAGGUGGUGCAUGGUUGUCGUCAGCUCGUGUCGUGAGAUGUUGGGUUAAGUCCCGCAACGAGCGCAACCCUUACUGUUAGUUGCUACGCAAGAGCACUCUAGCAGGACUGCCGUUGACAAAACGGAGGAAGGUGGGGAUGACGUCAAAUCAUCAUGCCCCUUAUGACCUGGGCCUCACACGUACUACAAUGGCUGUCAACAGAGGGAAGCAAAGCCGCGAGGUGGAGCGAACCCCUAAAAGCAGUCUUAGUUCGGAUUGUAGGCUGCAACCCGCCUACAUGAAGUCGGAAUUGCUAGUAAUCGCAGAUCAGCAUGCUGCGGUGAAUACGUUCCCGGGCCUUGUACACACCGCCCGUCACGCCAUGGGAGUCGGUAACACCCGAAGCCUGUAGUCUAACCGCAAGGAGGACGCAGUCGAAGGUGGGAUUGAUGACUGGGGUGAAGUCGUAACAAGGUA
rnacentral:rRNA from 1 species